rnacentral:rRNA from 1 species
GAUGAACGCUGGCGGCGUGCCUAAUACAUGCAAGUCGAGCGAACGGACGAGAAGCUUGCUUCUCUGAUGUUAGCGGCGGACGGGUGAGUAACACGUGGAUAACCUACCUAUAAGACUGGGAUAACUUCGGGAAACCGGAGCUAAUACCGGAUGAUAUUUUGAACGGCAUGGUUCAAAAGUGAAAGACGGUCUUGCUGUCACUUAUAGAUGGAUCCGCGCUGCAUUAGCUAGUUGGUAAGGUAACGGCUUACCAAGGCAACGAUGCAUAGCCGACCUGAGAGGGUGAUCGGCCACACUGGAACUGAGACACGGUCCAGACUCCUACGGGAGGCAGCAGUAGGGAAUCUUCCGCAAUGGGCGAAAGCCUGACGGAGCAACGCCGCGUGAGUGAUGAAGGUCUUCGGAUCGUAAAACUCUGUUAUUAGGGAAGAACAUAUGUGUAAGUAACUGUGCACAUCUUGACGGUACCUAAUCAGAAAGCCACGGCUAACUACGUG